rnacentral:ncRNA from 1 species
GAGAAGUUUGAUUUAGGCUUAAUUAUUAAUGAGUUAAUUAUAAAUUAUAUGUAAAUUUUUGUUUGAAGACUUUAUAAAAUUUUAAAAUUUUAUAAUAAAAGUAAAUAAGAUUCGCAGUAAUUAGUGUUAUUUAUUAUUUAAGGAUAGAAAUAGUAGUUUUUUAAAGUUUAGUUAAAACUGGUGCCAGCAGCUGCGGUCAGACUAGGGAGCUAAGUUAAUAAAUAUUUAUUAGGUAAUUAUUUUAAAAAUUUAUUUAUUGUAGUUCUUUGUAAUUAAAGGUAAAAUUUGAAAUUAUUUAGGAGUAGGGGAAUAAGUAGAAUUUAUAAAGAAUUUAUAAAAGGAAGUAAUUAAACUAGGAUUAGAUACCCUAUUAUUUAUUUAUUAAAUUAUAAAGUAUUGGUAGUAGUUUAAUAUUAAAACCUAAGAGAUUUGGCGGUAUCUGGUAACUUGUUAGAGAAACUUGUUUUAAUAAUCGAUAAUCCUCGAAAUAUCUUACCUUUGUUAUUUAGUUUGUAUACCGUCAUAGAUGUGAUUUUUUAAAAGGUGAAAAUUAUUUAGAUAUUUAUUUUUAUGAAAAAAUAUUAGAUCAAGGUGCAGCUUAUAUAAAGGGUAAAAUGAGUUACAAUAAAUUAUUUUAAAUAUAUAUGGAGUAUAAAAUGAAAUUUUUAUAUAAAAGUGGAUUUAAUUGUAAUUAAAUUUUAAUAAGUUAAAAUGAUAAUAGUUCUGAGAUAUGUACAUAUCGCCCGUCGCUUUCAUUUAAGAGAUGAAAUAAGUCGUAACAUAGUAGAUGUACUGGAAAGUGUAUCUAGAAUUAG